AUGCAUCCGAAACAUGAGAGUGAGAAAGCCAAGCUCUUGAGUGCAAAGGAGCCUCACAAAAGUCAGAUCUGCAGGAGAAAUGACCUUAUUUUGUUCACUCAGUUGUCUGCUGAUUGCACUGAUUCCUGGUGGAUGAAAGUUUACUCACCCACGAGCCCUGUCAGUAAUGGAACACCCCUCUUCACCCCGCAGCUGAGCAGAGCCACGUCAGCGUGGAGCUGCAGCGUCUCCUUUAUAGAGCUGAAACAAUUAUGCAAGAGUCCGUAAGUUCCAGAAGGUAUUGGCAUCGUUGGCAUGACAGAACAACAUUUCCAGAUUUAAAACCACUUGAAGUGAAUUGAAGUCUUGAGAAAGUGGCUGCUGUAGGAAAGACUACGUGCUUUUCUGUCUUGACAGGUCAGUGUGGCCAGCUUCACAGUCUCUCUGCUGAUGGUUCAUUUUACCUGUCAAGGAGCUACCUAUUUGAAUGCCAAGGAAAUGGUUCCUUCUUUAUGCCAGCGAAAUAAUUUGUCAAAUUAUUCUGAUGUAGGUGGAACUCAAAAUGUUUGUAUCUGAUCUCUCCUAGGCCAUAUGCUCGGAAAAUGUGGACUGUUUUAUGGGUGGAAUUUGUUAGCGUCAGAGGUUUGAUUCAAGGGAUUUCUGGCUGUAAUUAACGAAGCAACUGUGCAGACUUCUCCCUUGAAUGUGUAUACUCUUUUGCAGACAUCUGGGCAGGCAGCGUAUCUAUUUGGUAUCCCCUCCUGGGGCUUUCAGGAGCCUAGAUAUUUUUAAUGAGUGUGCUUACUCAUAAGGAGAUGGGACUCUCCUUUAGUCAUGCAAUUUCAUAUAAAUUACUGAACUUGAAGCUCAUUUAUCGCUAAUCCAGAACAAAUAUUGGUUUAGUACAUAUUCUGUGUAGAAUAGGAUUUCAUAUCCAGAAAUAUUCUCAGCACGAUAUGGCUUUACUCCAGACAGCAUGGUCACCCAGGGCACUGCUCUUCAUCCUACACAUUGUAGUACUCUGAACCGGACUAUUUGUGCCCACAGUAAAGACAAGUUCCCAAGGGGCCUCUCUCAGAAGACCUCUCUAGAGUAUUACUCUGGGAGAUGUAAAUAGUACUUUGUGCUACUGUUAGGCAUUGAAAGUGCUGUAAAACUUAAAAUCAGCCCCUCUUAAAAUCCCAUUAUCACCCCUAUCUCCAAGACACUCAAAUGACUAUUUGUAGAUGAGAAAAUUCAAAACAAUUAACAAUGCAAGAAGUUGCCAAAACAUGCAGUAUUUACGAGA
rnacentral:lncRNA from 1 species